UACGUAGGCAGCGAGCGUUGUUCGGAGUUACUGGGCGUAAAGGGUGUGUAGGCGGUUGUUUAAGUUUGGUGUGAAAUCUCCCGGCUCAACUGGGAGGGUGCGCCGAAUACUGAAUGACUAGAGUGCGGGAGAGGAGAGUGGAAUUCCUGGUGUAGCGGUGAAAUGCGUAGAUAUCAGGAGGAACACCGGUGGUGUAGACGGCUCUCUGGACCGUAACUGACGCUGAGACACGAAAAGCGUGGGUAGCAAACAGG
rnacentral:rRNA from 1 species